rnacentral:rRNA from 1 species
AUACGUAGGUGGCGAGCGUUACUCGGAACUACUAGGCGUAAAGCGUAUGUAGGCUGUCGUAUAAGUCUAUGGUGAAAUUUCCUGGCUCAACUGGGAAGGGACAUAGAUACUGUAUGGCUUGAGUGUUGGAGGGGGAGACGGAAUUCCUGGUGUAGCGGUGAAAUGCGUAGAUAUCAGGAGGAACACCGAUGGCGAAAGCAGUCUCCUGGCCAAAUACUGACGCUGAGGUACGAAAGCUAGGGUAGC